CUGGCUCAGAUUGAACGCUGGCGGCAGGCUUAACACAUGCAAGUCGAGCGGUAACAGGGGGAGCUUGCUCCCCGCUGACGAGCGGCGGACGGGUGAGUAAUACAUAGGAAUCUGCCCAGUAGUGGGGGAUAGCCCGGGGAAACUCGGAUUAAUACCGCAUACGCCCUACGGGGGAAAGCAGGGGAUCUUCGGACCUUGCGCUAUUGGAUGAGCCUAUGUCGGAUUAGCUAGUUGGUGGGGUAAAGGCUCACCAAGGCGACGAUCCGUAGCUGGUCUGAGAGGAUGAUCAGCCACAUCGGGACUGAGACACGGCCCGAACUCCUACGGGAGGCAGCAGUGGGGAAUAUUGGACAAUGGGGGCAACCCUGAUCCAGCCAUGCCGCGUGUGUGAAGAAGGCUUUCGGGUUGUAAAGCACUUUCAGCGAGGAGGAAAAGUUGGUCGUUAAUAGCGGCCAGCCGUGACGUACUCGCAGAA
rnacentral:rRNA from 1 species